CCAUACAGCAGACACGAGGCAGAGCCAAGAUUAGAACCCAUGACCUCCUGCAUCCCAGGCCCGUUCACUAUCUACUACGCCACACUGCUUCAUGGAAUCCAAAGGGCCCAGGACCAAGUAAUUGGUGGAAAUAGAAAGGAAGCUCUGGAUGAGAAACCCAGAUAGAAAGGAAGGUUCAGAAAUCUGUCCAUCAACACAGUGAAUUUCUCUGUGCUACCAGGCGAUGCAUGAGGAGCUCGACCUCUUUCCUGGCCCAAUAUGUGAAAAUGAGCCUCACUCCCUCAGAGUUAUUUCCGCCAGAUUGACCUUGAACUCAUCGGAAUGACUAAGGAAAGAAGGUUUAGACAUGUGAAUACAGGAAGAAGCCAGAGAAGCAAAAAGCAUGCCCAGCAAAUUUGAAGAUCAGACUGUGAAUCCACUGCAAAAUUUGAAUCUGACACCAAACAAAGAAACAUUCUCACAUUUGUGUUUAUUUGUCCUUGUAUGUGUUUUCCUGGAUUACGAUUAAUAAUGAUUAUGGUACUUGUUAA